rnacentral:rRNA from 1 species
AUUGAACGCUGGCGGCAGGCCUAACACAUGCAAGUCGAACGAGUGGCGGACGGGUGAGUAAUGUCUGGGAAACCGCCUGAUGGAGGGGGAUAACUACUUGAAACGGUAGCUAAUACCGCAUACCAUAUUUUGUGCCCAGAUGGGAUUAGCUGGUUGGUGGGGUAACGGCUCACCAAGGCGACGAUACCUAGCUGGUCUGAGAGGAUGACCAGCAACACUGUAACUGAGACACGGUCCAGACUCCUACGGGAGGCAGCAGUGGGGAAUAUUGCACAAUGAGCGCAAGCCUGAUGCAGCCAGGCCGCGUGUAUGAAGAAGGCCUUCGGGUUGUAAAGUACUUUCAGCGGGGAGGCGUUACCCGCAGAGGAAGCAACGGCUAACUCCGUGCCAGCAGCCGCGGUAAUUC